CAAGGAAAGCAAUGGUUUGAAUGUCAGAUUCGGAGACACGAGUCUCGUAGAAUCUGGCGAUGAAAGCAGAGGCCUUCCUGUCAAUGUCAGGUUCAGCAACCCAACGUUCUUUGUCUUCGUCGCUGUGUCGUACCCUUCUCAGGUUCACUGCUUCGUCCCACAUAUCUUCUCCUCCCUCGCCUGAUUUCUUCCCCUUUCCGAUUUUAAA